rnacentral:lncRNA from 1 species
UUGAGGGAGACCUUUUUUUUUUCAGGUUGUGCAUGUGGUGACAUGCAAAUUUGAGGUCCAGUGCUGCUUCUGAUAGACGUGUGGCCGUACGUCCUCCAGCCCUGGUGGGUGACCACACCAGAGGAACCAUCUGGCCGAGGCCUCGGGGUGAUGUCCAGUGUUGUCCCACUGAUGUCCAGGAAGGGUUACAAUCUGUACCCGAAAAUCAGUAUAGAAAUAGCUGCAGAUCCUUCUUAGGACAGGGAAAACUCAGUUCUUGCUCCUCUACAUCCGAAGAAGAGAGUGAUGGACUCUGCUGUGCCGUUCUCCAUGUCUCAAACACAGAGAUCACCUUGGCCAAGGUUUGAGAAGCAAAGGAGGUUUUUUUUCCAGGGUUGGCAUUAGCCACCUUGACCAGCCCAGAAU